GGGAUUAAUACCCCAUACGAUUCAUUUGUGGCCUCACAAAUGGAUAAAAGCUACGGCGGUUUCAGAUGGUCAUGCGUACCAUUAGUUAGUUGGUGAGGUAAAGGCUCACCAAGGCGAUGAUGGUUAGGGGUCCUGAGAGGGUAGUCCCCCACACUGGUACUGAGACACGGACCAGACUCCUACGGGAGGCAGCAGUGAGGAAUAUUGGUCAAUGGGCGCUAGCCUGAACCAGCCAUGCCGCGUGCAGGAAGACGGCCCUACGGGUUGUAAACUGCUUUUCUGCAGGAAGAAUAUAUAGUCUUAGGGCUAUAUUGACGGUACUGCAGGAAUAAGCAUCGGCUAACUCCGUGCCAGCAGCCGCGGUAAUACGGAGGAUGCAAGCGUUAUCCGGAUUCAUUGGGUUUAAAGGGUGCGCAGGCUGUAAAGCAAGUCAGUGGUGAAAGCCCUGGGCUUAACUCAGGGAUUGCCAUUGAAACUGUUUUACUAGAGUGUAGUAGAGGACGGCGGAAUGAGUUGUGUAGCGGUGAAAUGCAUAGAUAUAACUCAGAACACCUAUUGCGUAGGCAGCUGUCUAUACUACAACUGACGCUGAGGCACGAAAGCGUGGGGAGCGAACAGGAUUAGAUACCCUGGUAGUCCACGCUGUAAACGAUGAUCACUCGUUGUUGGCUACUUAGUAGUCAGUGACCAAGGGAAACCGAUAAGUGAUCCACCUGGGGAGUACGUCGGCAACGAUGAAACUCAAAGGAAUUGACGGGGGCCCGCACAAGCGGAGGAACAUGUGGUUUAAUUCGAUGAUACGCGAGGAACCUUACCUGGGCUUAAAUGCUGGCUGCAUUGGAGGGAAACCUUCAUUUCCUACGGGACCGCCAGCAAGGUGCUGCAUGGUUGUCGUCAGCUCGUGCCGUGAGGUGUCGGGUUAAGUCCCAUAACGAGCGCAACCCCUAUCGCUAGUUGCCAGCAUGUAAUGGUGGGGACUCUAGCGAGACUGCCGGUGUAAACCGGAGGAAGGUGGGGAUGACGUCAAAUCAGCACGGCCCUUACGUCCAGGGCUACACACGUGUUACAAUGGCCGGUACAAAGAGCAGCCACCUGGCGACAGGGCGCUAAUCUCUAAAACCGGUCUCAGUUCGGAUCGAAGUCUGCAAUUCGACUUCGUGAAGGUGGAUUCGCUAGUAAUCGCGCAUCAGCCAUGG
rnacentral:rRNA from 1 species